GACGAACGCUGGCGGCGUGCUUAACACAUGCAAGUCGAGCGGUAAGGCCCUUUCGGGGGUACACGAGCGGCGAACGGGUGAGUAACACGUGGGUGACCUGCCUUUAGCUCUGGGAUAAGCCUGGGAAACUGGGUCUAAUACCGGAUACGACUCCGCGGUGCAUGCUGUGGGGUGGAAAGCCUUGUGCGGCUGGAGAUGGGCCCGCGGCCUAUCAGCUUGUUGGUGGGGUGAUGGCCUACCAAGGCGACGACGGGUAGCCGGCCUGAGAGGGCGACCGGCCACACUGGGACUGAGACACGGCCCAGACUCCUACGGGAGGCAGCAGUGGGGAAUCUUGCGCAAUGGGCGAAAGCCUGACGCAGCGACGUCGCGUGAGGGAUGACGGCC
rnacentral:rRNA from 1 species